GACAGAGGGGGCAAGCGUUGCUCGGAAUUACUGGGCGUAAAGGGCGCGUAGGCGGGAUGGCAAGUCGGUCGUGAAAUCCUUCGGCUCAACCGAAGAACGUCGAUCGAUACUGCUGUUCUUGAGGGUUGCAGAGGAGACUGGAAUUCCCGGUGUAGCGGUGAAAUGCGUAGAUAUCCGGAGGAACACCAGUGGCGCAGGCGGCUCUCUGGGUCGGCCCUGACGCUGAGGCACGAAAGCGUGGGGAGCGAACGGG
rnacentral:rRNA from 1 species